UACUAUUAUUCUCAUCUGUUUUUCAGUUUUUUUUUUGUGUUUU
rnacentral:sRNA from 1 species